AAUGGUAGCAGCCACAACCACAGCAGCACCGGGGGUCGCUGAUAUAACAGGUCCAGAGGAGGCCCAGACUGCAACACCAGAACCACCUGCUCCUGUAACCGGCGUUGCCAGCGUCCCUGAUGCUCCCGAGGUUACAGUUGAAGUAGAAACUGUGGAGGAGGAGGACUCUGAGCUGCCCAAUGUUGUCCCAGAGCAGCCUGUGGAGGCGAUAGUGGAGUUCAGUAUUAACCUCGUGGACCCAGGCUACAAGGAACUACUGGACGACCCUGACUCCCCCCAAUAUGUUGACCUCUCUCAUCACCUGCAAGACCAGAUGCUCCAUGUUUUUGACAAACUCCCAGGAUUUAAAGAUAUCAAUGUUUUGGGAAUCAGGUAAGUCUGUGGCAGACAUGAAUAAUCACAUCUGGUGCCUUCGUUCUUAAUACUGACGUUUUGGUGAGCAAAUUAAAUGGCAAUAGAUUAGGUUAGACAGAUGAAAGACAGGUGCAAGCUGGGAACCCUGCCAGUAGGGAUCAAUCCACAGCAUCUCACUGCACUGAGAAAUUCCUCUGAGACUCAAUUUAUUUAAUCGGACCUUCUUAACAAAGUGUUGAUUUGGCAUGGACACGGAUUCAUUUGAAAACAAAACUAGCUCAUUCCCACCUAGGUGAAAUUCAGUCAAAUUCUAGGAACAGAAAAUAUUUGAGUGCCAUCCAAGCCAUUCUGUCAUGUGCUCUUGGCUAUGCUGACUGUAGUAAGAACUGAAUACUUGUCAUUAGUGUGACUCACAUGCAUGCCAAAAAUAUAUACCUUUCCUUUCCUGUGUGUUAACACUGAUGGUUAUUAUAUCUUUACAUUCAAAUGCAAAAGUAUACAUGUCAAGCACAGGUGGCUGGUGAGGGGAGGAUGGCUCAUAAUAAUGGCUGGAAUGGAGUGAACGGAAUGGCAUCAUACACAUGGAAACCACGUGUUUGUGUCUGAUACCAUUCAACAAUUCUAUCCCAGUCAUUACUAUGAGCCUGUCCUCCUCUAUUAAGGUGCCACCAGCUGCCUGUGGUGUCAAGAGACAAACACCCUGUGAUGUCAUGACACACGACCAGCAAUGAAUGAUGAUCUAUUUCCUUGUAGAUGGCAUGUCAUUAUGUCACAUACUAACGGCCUAUUUUCUUCCCCUGUCCAAAUCCUAGCGAGACCCAGGAGAGUGACGGGUAAUUGAAUUACUGUAAUGAGAGCCAUCUUGAGUGGUAGCUGCUGUUUCCCUCUGUGUGCUUGUCCCUGUAUGUCUGCUUCUCCUCUCAGUGUUAAUCUGGAUCUAACACAGGGCCCAAGGAGAGAGGGAUCACACUAAACAAACACCAACUUGGCAAUUACUCAGCUCUAAGUGCAGCCAUGGUGGGUCAAUACAUCAACCAGGGACACAGUUGAGGAAUGAGGACCAAAAUCAGCUGAAACUAGGCCUACAUUUGAUAUCCCUUCUGUAUCUCAUUGAAGGUUAACAUGUGCUUCUUUAAAUCUUUCUGAAAGGGUGUUAAUGCUCCUGUCUUCUUCAUUUUAGGAUGGAAGGAAAUUAAGCAGUGCAAUAAAACCCCUGUGUGAAUAGAAUAAUUGCCGAGUUGCUCCCUUCCCUAAUUUGCAGGGCCCAUUGUGGCCAGUGCUGUCACAGGCAAUAACAUCCUCAAGCCUGCUCCACUAAUCUGAUAAAUGAUUCACAACUAAUUCGACUUUUGUCUGUGUCUUCACUAUUUACAAAAACAAAAUGGAAAGAAAUCCACCAUUGAUGGUAUCAUUACUAUUCUAAUCAAAAUCCCAUUUAACUAAUCUGUUUGUCCUCCAGCUUCUCUAUGUCAGAGCUGCAUAUUGAAUACAUUUUUGAUAGUGUCUAUAAAAUCAGCCAUUUUUGACUCUCCAAAUGUUAAACCUGACAGAGGAUUGCUGUGUUUUUAGUUUACGUAGUUAAAUCCUUAUAGUUUAUCUAGAUCUGUAUAAUGCAGUACAUCACCAAGAGCUACUAUUUUCUGCUCUCAUACAAUAUAUUCUUAUUUUUCAGACCUGGAGCAGUGACAGUGCACUAUUCCCUGGUCUUUGAGACAAUUUCAACAGAAAUUUCAGAGGAUGACACAGGGACUCCAGUGUCAGCUGUGCCCAGCCUGCGGGAAAGGGUGGCCAAUGCUUUGAGUGAAGAGGCCUCUCUACCAGUGGAUCUACAGUCAUUAAACUUUGAACCAGGUAACCAAUUCCCUGUGAAUAAGUUAUGUUAUAUUUCUAAAAGACAUGAUUUUGCAUCGUUUUUGUACAUCUUUCCACAGUAAAAGUGAUUCCAUUAACUACAACACCUAUUGAGGAAGCUGUUGAAGAAGUGAUUGAAUGUGUAAGUACUGGCAUUUUAAUCUAAACUACCUAAGGCGAAAUACCAAA
rnacentral:lncRNA from 1 species